GAGACAGCAGUCGCCGCGGUAAUACGUAGGUGGCAAGCGUUGUCCGGAAUUAUUGGGCGUAAAGGGCUCGCAUGCGGUUUCUUAAGUCUGAUGUGAAAGCCCCCGGCUCAACCGGGGAGGGUCAUUGGAAACUGGGAAACUUGAGUGCAGAAGAGGAGAGUGGAAUUCCACGUGUAGCGGUGAAAUGCGUAGAGAUGUGGAGGAACACCAGUGGCGAAGGCGACUCUCUGGUCUGUAACUGACGCUGAGGAGCGAAAGCGUGGGGAGCGAACAGGAUUAGAUACCCGCGUAGUCCCUGUCUCUUAUAC
rnacentral:rRNA from 1 species